rnacentral:lncRNA from 1 species
AUGACUGGAAUAUCCAGAUCUGUGACGCAAGCUUCUGAGAAGAUGGACAUACCCGUCAUCACGCUAGGAACCACAGGCAAGCGAAGGGGAAGAGGCCGCACAACGCCUACAAUGGGCUGGUGCAAAGGAAGAGGUCUGGGAGGAGGACGAGAAGAAGGAACAGUCAGAGGGGUCAGAGAACCAAGAAAGGGUCACAGAAAAGCUGAUGGGGAGCGGAAGGCUCCAGCAGGUGGGAGCAGCCACAGUACAGGUUGUUGAAGAAAUACCUUGAUCACCUUUUUCCAAGCUAAACUACGUGUGGUGUGGAUGUCCACGGGGACCUGGGCAAGUUCAAGAGCAGGGUUCUGGGCUGCCAGCAAGAAUGCAGUGUGAAAGAUAAGGAGGUGCAUGGGGGUGAUCCCGGCACAAGUUAGGAUUUGAGGACAGGCAUAAAUAUAUUCCUUCAAGAGGGAGCUUUCAGGAGAGAUGUUGUUUCCAGCCAUAGUGAAACGGAAUUCAUUCUCUGGUGUAAAGGCCUAGAGACUGGAAUGAAGGGUAUUUAUCCCUCACUAUCACUCCAAACCCCGCGCCUUCCAUCCCUCAGACAAAAACACAACUAAGUUCAAUCACCCUCAGGCUCAACAACUCUAUCUCUAGCUCAUCUAUCUCUAUUCUCCAUCUCUAUCUCUACUUGUGUGUUUUCGAGUUUACUAAUUCAAAACCAUAAAAUACUUUCCCUGUAACCUUUCUC